rnacentral:lncRNA from 1 species
AUGUUGUUUUGAUAAUUUUAGUGUUGUUAAAUCUUUUGGUUUUUAAAACCUAAGUGAGUUGUGAUAAAUUUCUUUUAUUCAUUUUCAGUUGCAAUACUAUUUUGAAUGGGAACUGUUCUAUCGGAAUAUGAUUAAGAGAAAACUGAUAACAACAAAACGUACUCAAGUUAGACCCUUGUGAAAUACAAAAACCUAUUAACAAUUAAGUUGUAGUAAAUUAGAAACGUUUUUCAAAUUUAGAAAGGUUUCAGGUUGUAGAAAAUGAAUGCCCCUUUCAAUACACUCCUCUUCUUU